UUCUGCUCUCCAGCUUGUGGGCCUCCUUGCUGCCGGGGAAGGAGGAAUCCACGGGAUUGUAGACGGGCCCCGAUCGGCAGCUCGCCUUGCUGUUGAAGACCUG